AUACGUAUGUCUCAAGCGUUACCCGGAAUCACUGGGUGUAAAGGGUUCGUAGGCGGUUUGAUAAGUUGGAUAUGAAAGACCGGAGCUCAACUCCGUGUUGGUGUUCAAAACUGUCAAACUAGAAUCAGGGAGAGGUAAGCGGAAUUCUAAGUGUAGGGGUGCAAUCCGUAGAUACUUAGAGGAACACCGAAAGCGAAGGCAGCUUACUGGAACUGUAUUGACGCUCAUGAACGAAAGCGUGGGGAGCAAACAGGAUUAGAAACCCUUGUAGUCC
rnacentral:rRNA from 1 species